UACGUAGGUGGCGAGCGUUGUCCGGAUUUAUUGGGCGUAAAGCGCGCGCAGGCGGUGCGGUAAGUCUGUCGUGAAAUCUCCCGGCUCAACUGGGAGGGUGCGGUGGAGACUGCCGGACUAGAGGCACUCAGAGGCCGGUGGAAUUCCCGGUGUAGUGGUGAAAUGCGUAGAGAUCAGGAGGAACACCGGUGGCGAAGGCGGGUCUCUGGGCCGAAACUGACGCUGAGGAGCGAAAGCGUGGGGAGCGAACAGG
rnacentral:rRNA from 1 species